AAUGGGUCAGCGACUUAUAUUCUGUAGCAAGGUUAACCGAAUAGGGGAGCCGAAGGGAAACCGAGUCUUAACUGGGCGUUAAGUUGCAGGGUAUAGACCCGAAACCCGGUGAUCUAGCCAUGGGCAGGUUGAAGGUUGGGUAACACUAACUGGAGGACCGAACCGACUAAUGUUGAAAAAUUAGCGGAUGACUUGUGGCUGGGGGUGAAAGGCCAAUCAAACCGGGAGAUAGCUGGUUCUCCCCGAAAGCUAUUUAGGUAGCGCCUCGUGAAUUCAUCUCCGGGGGUAGAGCACUGUUUCGGCAAGGGGGUCAUCCCGACUUACCAACCCGAUGCAAACUGCGAAUACCGGAGAAUGUUAUCACGGGAGACACACGGCGGGUGCUAACGUCCGUCGUGAAGAGGGAAACAACCCAGACCGCCAGCUAAGGUCCCAAAGUCAUGGUUAAGUGGGAAACGAUGUGGGAAGGCCCAGACAGCCAGGAUGUUGGCUUAGAAGCAGCCAUCAUUUAAAGAAAGCGUAAUAGCUCACUGGUCGAGUCGGCCUGCGCGGAAGAUGUAACGGGGCUAAACCAUGCACCGAAGCUGCGGCAGCGACGCUUAUGCGUUGUUGGGUAGGGGAGCGUUCUGUAAGCCUGCGAAGGUGUGCUGUGAGGCAUGCUGGAGGUAUCAGAAGUGCGAAUGCUGA
rnacentral:rRNA from 1 species